rnacentral:tRNA from 1 species
GGAGGAAUACCCAAGUCCGGCUGAAGGGGACGGUCUCGAAAACCGUUAGGGGCUUCACGGCCCGCGUGGGUUCGAAUCCCACUUCCUCCG